GGAUCAAUUGAUUGGUCAUGCCUUGGUAUGAACUGGUCAUAUUGGUUCUCACCUUCUAAUGAACCAUAAUGUCAUUCACUUGAUGUUAUGGGGAAUUAGGACUGUUACCUUGAAUAAAUUAGGGUGUUCAAAGCAGCCAAAAAAGGAGGCAUGGAUACUACAGCAUGGGAUAACGGAAUA
rnacentral:rRNA from 1 species